GUGCUAAUACCGGAUAAGUCCUUACGGAGAAAGUUUUAAUGCCAAAAGAUGAGCCCGCAUUUGAUUAGCUAGUUGGUGAGGUAAGAGCUCACCAAGGCGAUAAUCAAUAGCUGAUUUGAGAGGAUGAUCAGCCACACUGGGACUGAGAUACGGCCCAGACUCCUACGGGAGGCAGCAGUGGGGAAUCUUGCACAAUGGGCGAAAGCCUGAUGCAGCGAUGCCGCGUGAGUGAAGAAGGCCUUUGGGUUGUAAAGCUCUUUUGUCGGGAAAGAUAAUGACUGUACCCGAAGAAUAAGGUCCGGCUAACUUCGUGCCAGCAGCCGCGGUAAUACGAAGGGACCUAGCGUAGUUCGGAAUUACUGGGCGUAAAGAGUAUGUAGGCGGCUAGAUAAGUUAAUUGUGAAAGCCCAAAGCUUAACUUUGGAAUUGCAAUUAAAACUAUUUAGCUAGAGUAUGAUAGAGGAAAGCGGAAUACAUAGUGUAGAGGUGAAAUUCGUAGAUAUUAUGUAGAACACCAGUUGCGAAGGCGGCUUUCUGGAUCAUUACUGACGCUGAGAUACGAAAGUAUGGGUAGCGAAGAGGAUUAGAUACCCUCGUAGUCCAUACCAUAAACGAUGAUUAUUAGAUGUGGGGAAUUAUUUCUCUGUAUCAUAGCUAACGCGUUAAAUAAUCCGCCUGGGGAGUACGACCGCAAGGUUAAAACUCAAAUGAAUUGACGGGGACCCGCACAAGCGGUGGAGCAUGUGGUUUAAUUCGAAGCAACGCGCAGAACCUUACCAACCCUUGACAUGUUCGUCGCGAGACUAAGAAAUUAGUCUCUUCGGUUCGGCCGGACGAAACACAGGUGCUGCAUGGCUGUCGUCAGCUCGUGUCGUGAGAUGUUGGGUUAAGUCCCGCAACGAGCGCAACCCUCACUUUUAGUUGCCAUCAUUAAGUUGGGCACUCUGAAAGAACUGCCAGUGAUAAGCUGGAGGAAGGUGGGGAUGACGUCAAGUCCUCAUGGCCCUUACGUGUUGGGCUACACACGUGCUACAAUGGUAUCUACAACAGGAAGCAAGACUGCGAAGUUAAGCAAAUCCCUAAAAGAUACCUCAGUUCGGAUUGCACUCUGCAACUCGAGUGCAUGAAGCUGGAAUUACUAGUAAUCGUGGAUCAGCGUGCCACGGUGAAUGCGUUCCCGGGUCUUGUACACACCGCCCGUCACACCAUGG
rnacentral:rRNA from 1 species